rnacentral:rRNA from 1 species
AGAGUGAACGCUGGCGGCAGGCCUAACACAUGCAAGUCGAGCGGUAGAGAGGUGCUUGCACCUCUUGAGAGCGGCGGACGGGUGAGUAAUGCCUAGGAAUCUGCCUAGUGGUGGGGGAUAACGUUCGGAAACGGACGCUAAUACCGCAUACGUCCUACGGGAGAAAGCGGGGGACCUUCGGGCCUCGCGCCAUUAGAUGAGCCUAGGUCGGAUUAGCUAGUUGGUGAGGUAAUGGCUCACCAAGGCGACGAUCCGUAACUGGUCUGAGAGGAUGAUCAGUCACACUGGAACUGAGACACGGUCCAGACUCCUACGGGAGGCAGCAGUGGGGAAUA